ACAACAUUCGGACCGUCGGUCUACCGAGUAAUUAGACCAGCUCAGUGGAAGAUGUUUCCUUUCGUCAU
rnacentral:pre_miRNA from 1 species